GUUAAUAUUCUUUUUUACUUUUUGCGCAUUUUUUCCAUCUUUUACUUCAAAUACAAGUAUAGUUAGCAUAAAUUUUAGAGCAAAUUUGGAUGCUCAGAAUGCAGGAAAUGGCAUUUCCAUGCUUCAAAUUUCAAAAAUUUUCUGGAAAGGUUUUCAGAAAGGUUUUGAAAUUUACAAAAUCUUGCAAAAAUACAACUUGCAAGAAAUGUUUGUUGGCGCUGUCGUCAUGCAGUCGUUAUAGUGCAAAUUUCAAAUUUGACCAAUCAGUGUUCACUAUUCACGACAGUCCGCUCAUAUUUUGAGAUCAGUGAGGAUGACCACUACCCAUGAACGGUGAGCCGUGCGCCCGCGACAUUCGAUGAACUUAGACUUUGUUAGUGCGUUUCUUUCCCCGGGUGUAAAUAGCCGGGCGGAAAUAGUACCCUCACACCGGGCUUACGCCCGGAACGGCGCUCCGUUGGCUCGGGGAAAACAUUUUCUGUGUCAAGGCUAGUUUCCACCAGGGCCUGUUUCCACUCAGGAAAAUUAUCUAGUGCUCCACCCCUAGAAUAUAGACCUUACUGGGGUUUGGCGACACUUUGUGUUGCUCAGGGCCUUUUUUAACAUACAAGCUGGGGGGGGGG